GAGGGAGAGAGUAAGGAGAAAGGAGAAGAAGUUAGGGUUUGAGAGAGAGGAAGAGCAGAGAAGACAAAAUGUAGUUGGAGAUCGAAUCCAAGGCAAGAAACUUCGAAGCAAUAGUUCUCUCGGUACUGGAAAAGGAGUUUGGGGGGUGGAUCCACUCAUUCCGGCAAGAAAAUCCAAGAACGAACAAAGUUUCUUGAAGUUUUUGGACAAAAAUCGGAGUUUCAAGAAAAACGCGAUUUUCGGAGAGAGGAGGCAUUGCCGCCAUGUGUCGACCGACAUACGGAAGAGCGCGACAGAACCGACGAGCGACACGUGGUGACUGUAUGCUGGAGAAGCGCAUCAGGCGUGCGGAACCGAGGCAGCCUGAGUCCGAACCAUGCAAACCGAACCGAUCUAGCCGCUGGCCCACGACUGCGUGGGAAGUCGCGCGUGGACACGCGCGCGUAAUACACCUCCAGAGCGCGUCAGCGUGCGACCUAUAAAGGAAAUUCCAUAAUUUUUGGAACCUUUUCCGGCAAAUAAUUCAAGCUUGGGAAGGCACGCGUCAACUAUGUACCAGUCGAUGCAAGGAGGUGUUCGAGAGCUGCACUGUCACAGAGAGGUGUCGUUCCGGAGCGUCAGUCCCUUGUCGGUCUUUUAGAGUCUUUUGUAUUUCAUUUUAUAUUUGUAAUUACUUUUGUAAUAAUUUGAAACAAAUCUUUUCCCUAUUUCG